AGUAAUAAAAAAUUGAUUGAUGCCCUACCCCACACAUAUCGCACUCACCUCGUUAAUGUAAAAGUUUCUUAGAAAAGUAAUUAACAAUAUAAUAACUUGUCUUUUUCCAGUAGUCGGUACUUCAAGGGACCACAAUGUUCAAUGGCUGUUGUUGUCUUUGCUGGUUGAAGGGACCAUAAUGUGUUUGAUUCUUCAAAGCGGCUUCACUUUCACUCUAUUCUUCAAAUGGUUUCAGUAAUCACAAACGGUAAGAAGUAACAGCUAUUUCAAUUUUGGGGAUCUAGAGAUUUCUUACACCAUAUACGACAUCGUUUCGAUCUUUUUUUUUUUGUUCUAUUUAAUAUGUAAAAAAUGCACCGUUUCUAUAGGGCAAAAUGCAGUAUUUCUGCUUUUGCUUUAAAACGCACCGUAUCUACGUGUUUAAGUUACCAGAGCGCCGACAGCCACGUAGAAUAAUUUUCACCAAAGAUUUCAUUUAUGUAUCGAUUUGACAAAAUUGAUAAUGUCACACAUGAUAUUGUUACAAUUAAAAACACAUGAUUAAAUUGAGAAAACCGCUAAAGAUCGAGAAUUCUUUUACAAUUAACCCUUUAAUCUAUGUAUUAAAC
rnacentral:lncRNA from 1 species